rnacentral:rRNA from 1 species
GACGAACCGUGCGAACGUUGUUCGGAAUCACUGGGCUUAAAGGGCGCGUAGGCGGGCUGCCAAGUCUGGGGUGAAAUCCCACGGCUCAACCGUGGAACUGCCUCGGAUACUGGCGGCCUCGAGGGAGGUAGGGGCGUGCGGAACUGUGGGUGGAGCGGUGAAAUGCGUUGAUAUCCACAGGAACUCCGGUGGCGAAGGCGACUACCUGGCCUGUUCUUGACGCUGAGGCGCGAAAGCUAGGGGAGCAAACGGG